rfam:Deltaproteobacteria bacterium RBG_16_50_11 RBG_16_scaffold_57590, whole genome shotgun sequence.
GAAGCCUACCCAGGUAGCCGUUAGCCACGGGCCUGGAAUCCAGCCUUGCAGGCGUUCUGGUAACAGGGUGCUUGAUGCGUAGGCAGGAGAGGAAGCGAGGUGCAAUGGUAACAGGUCACGCUGACCGUGAAGGCGUUGAGCCCCGAUAAGACAGUCAUUGGGAGAGGCCGAUGGUGUUUAUGGGCCAGCAGGCAACAGUCCUUUGUACAUGAGAGGCGAGUGCAAGGGGCCGCCCCGGGGUCUUAGGCCA